CCAGCAGCUGCGGUAAUUCCAGCUCCAAAAGCGUAUAUUAAAUUUGUUGCGGUUAAAAAGCUCGUAGUUGAAUAUAAAGUGCUGGCUUAGUUUCACUAUUGUCGGCAUUCUCGGAUUUAUCCGAUUUUUACUUUGAGAAAAAGAAAGCGUUUCAAGCAAGUAAUUGCUGUGAAUAUAUAAGCAUGGUAUGAGAAAAUAAAUAUUUUUCUUGGUUUAAGAAAUUUAAUUUGUUGAAUAGGAGCAGUUGGGGGCAUUCGUAUUUAAUUGUUAGAGGUGAAAUUCUUGGAUUUUUUAAGGACGAACUGAUGCGAAAGCAUUUGUCAAAGAUGUUUUCAUUAAUCAAGAACGAAAGU
rnacentral:rRNA from 1 species